AGUGAACGCUGGCGGUAGGCCUAACACAUGCAAGUCGAACGGCAGCACAGUAAGAGCUUGCUCUUACGGGUGGCGAGUGGCGGACGGGUGAGGAAUACAUCGGAAUCUACUUUUUCGUGGGGGAUAACGUAGGGAAACUUACGCUAAUACCGCAUACGACCUACGGGUGAAAGCAGGGGAUCUUCGGACCUUGCGCGAUCGAAUGAGCCGAUGUCGGAUUAGCUAGUUGGCGGGGUAAAGGCCCACCAAGGCGACGAUCCGUAGCUGGUCUGAGAGGAUGAUCAGCCACACUGGAACGGAGACACGGUCCAGACUCCAAAGGGAGGCAGCAGUGGGAAAUAUUGGACAAUGGGCGCAAGCCUGAUCCAGCCAUACCGCGCGGGUGAAGAAGGCCUUCGGGUUGUAAAGCCCUUUUGUUGGGAAAGAAAAGCAGCAGGUUAAUAACCUGCUGUUCUGACGGUACCCAAAGAGUAAGCACCGGCUAACUUCGUG
rnacentral:rRNA from 1 species